rnacentral:rRNA from 1 species
UGGGGAAUAUUGCACAAUGGGCGCAAGCCUGAUGCAGCAACGCCGCGUGAACGAUGAAGGUCUUCGGAUCGUAAAGUUCUGUUGCAGGGGAAGAUAAUGACGGUACCCUGUGAGGAAGCCCCGGCUAACUACGUGCCAGCAGCCGCGGUAAUACGUAGGGGGCUAGCGUUAUGCGGAUUUACUGGGCGUAAAGGGUGCGUAGGUGGUCUUUCAAGUCGGUGGUUAAAGGCUACGGCUCAACCGUAGUUAGCCUCCGAAACUGGAAGACUUGAGUGCAGGAGAGGAAAGUGGAAUUCCCAGUGUAGCGGUGAAAUGCGUAGAUAUUGGGAGGAACACCAGUAGCGAAGGCGGCUUUCUGGACUGCAACUGACACUGAGGCACGAAAGCGUGGGUAGCAAACAGG